rnacentral:rRNA from 1 species
AUUGAACGCUGGCGGCAUGCCUAACACAUGCAAGUCGGGCGAGCGGCGGACAGGUGGUGAAUGUAUGGGGGUCUGCCUGAUGGCGGGGUAUAACUACUGGAUACGGUAGCUAAUAACGCCUGCCUGCGGAGGAGCCUGUAGGGGAUUAGCUUGUAGGUGAGGUAACGGCGCACCUAGGCGACGACGCCGAGCUGGUCUGAGAGGAUGAUCGGCCACACUGGGACUGAGAUACGGCCCAGACUCCUACGGGAGGCAGCAGUGGGGAAUAUUGCACAAUGGGCGCAAGCCUGAUGGAGCCAUGCCGCGUGUAUGAAGAAGGCCUUCGGGUUGUAAAGCACUUUCAGUCGGGAGGCGGUACCGAAAGAGGAAGCACCGGCUAACUACGUGCCAGCAGCCGCGGUAAUUC